rnacentral:lncRNA from 1 species
CUCCCUGGCUUGGCAGCAGAUGCAUACCUGGGAAGGAUGCUAGGUCAUCCGGGAACUCUACCUCCUUCAAAUCCCUAAGGACUGUGCUCCCAAUCCGCUUACGCUCAAGGAAGAACUGCCUGGAAGCCCUCCCUGGUACCAUACCCCAGCCGAUGAGUAUGUACCCCCAGAAGUACUUCCGCUCAGAGAAGAAGGAGACGGCAAGCAGGGUGUACAGGAAGGCCCAGAACCAGCCUGCUGUCAGGAUCAGAACAAAAGAGGAGGACUGCAUAUGUAUGGACCCACUCCAGAUGGCACGGGGACGGGGGGAGUAGGAAAAGUGGCAUGAUGAGGAAAUGGAGGCACAGACUGAUUAGAAAACCAGCUCAAGGUCAUGUUGCUGGGCUCUCUGGUGGAGCCUCUGUCUCACAGGUCACCUGCAGGCCAACACUCCCAGAAGCAGCUAGCACCAUGGUUGACCUCGUCCAGGUCCAGGGAAGGCCUCCCUCUCCAGGACUCCUUUAGAUUUCCCCAGCAUCCAGACCUCACCUGCCUAAGUGCUGUUGCCCUGGAAGCCACAGUGAGCACGAGCUCCAUCUUGCACCUUUACCAGCCAAUGGGGGUAAAGACAUUAGCUGAAAUACUUCUAAGGGGCCAGGCGUGGUGACUCAUGCUUGUAAUUCCAAGCACUUUGGGAGGCUGAGGCAGGUGGAUCACCUGAAGCCAGGAGUUCAAGAGCAGCCUGGCCAACAUGGCGAAACCCUGUCUCUACUAAAAAUACAAAAUUUAGCCAGGCAUGGUGGCGGGAGCCUGUAAUCUCAGCUCCUAGGG